rnacentral:rRNA from 1 species
UACGUAGGGAGCAAGCGUUGUUCGGAUUUACUGGGCGUAAAGGGCGCGUAGGCGGCGUGGUAAGUCACUUGUGAAAUCUCCGAGCUUAACUCGGAACGGUCAAGUGAUACUGCUGUGCUAGAGUGCAGAAGGGGCAAUCGGAAUUCUUGGUGUAGCGGUGAAAUGCGUAGAUAUCAAGAGGAACACCUGAGGUGAAGACGGGUUGCUGGGCUGACACUGACGCUGAGGCGCGAAAGCUAGGGUAGCAAACGGG